rnacentral:rRNA from 1 species
UACAGAGGUGGCAAGCGUUGUUCGGAAUUACUGGGCGUAAAGGGCGCGUAGGCGGUCUGGUCAGUCCCUUGUGAAAUCCCCCGGCUCAACUGGGGAACUGCACGGGAAACAGCCGGGCUUGAGUUCGGGAGAGGGAAGCGGAAUUCCAGGUGUAGCGGUGAAAUGCGUAGAUAUCUGGAGGAACACCGGUGGCGAAGGCGGCAUCCUGGACCGGCAUUGACGCUGAGGCGCGAAGCUAGGGAGCAAACGGG